GCCUUCGUGGUGUAAUGGUAGCACACUCGGCGCGUAUUCGAGAAGCCCAGGUUCGAAUCUCGGUAAGAGUA
rnacentral:tRNA from 1 species